rnacentral:lncRNA from 1 species
UGUUCCCCGCUUGCGGGGACCACAAAUGCAUUCAGUUCCAUUUUCGUAUUAUUUGAAUUCGAUUCAAUUUGUGAAAAAAGAUCUGGUUGAGAAAAUAAUUUUUUUAAUUCGAAAAAAAAAGACGUACACGUAUAUUUUAUCAAUAUAUACUUAAGAGGGUUGCUCAAACGGGAAUUGAAAAUUUUUAUUCUGCCCGGUUUAUAAAAUUAUACAAAAUCUAGAUUAUAGCGAUUUGUAAUCAACCCUUUAUCUUAUUGCUCGGGGGAGGAACAAUAAUAUUUCAUUGCUACAAAUAUGGAUUAUUGACAAAGAAGA